GCAAUGCAAUGGAUAGAACGGACCCCUCCUAAGGGUCAGAUGUAGGUUCGAUUCCUACUGGCCGCACCA
rnacentral:tRNA from 1 species